CCUACGGGGGGCAGCAGUGAGGAAUAUUGGUCAAUGGACGAGAGUCUGAACCAGCCAAGUAGCGUGAAGGAUGACUGCCCUAUGGGUUGUAAACUUCUUUUAUAUGGGAAUAAAAUGUUCCACGUGUGGGUUUUUGUAUGUACCAUAUGAAUAAGGAUCGGCUAACUCCGUGCCAGCAGCCGCGGUAAUACGGAGGAUCCGAGCGUUAUCCGGAUUUAUUGGGUUUAAGGGGAGCGUAGGUGGAUUGUUAAGUCAGUUGUGAAAGUUUGCGGCUCAACCGUAAAAUUGCAGUUGAAACUGGCAGUCUUGAGUACAGUAGAGGUUGGCGGAAUUCGUGGUGUAGCGGUGAAAUGCUUAGAUAUCACGAAGAACUCCGAUUGCGAAGGCAGCUCACUGGACUGCAACUGACACUGAGGCUCGAAAGUGUGGGUAUCAAACAGGAUUAGAUACCCCAGUAGUC
rnacentral:rRNA from 1 species